rnacentral:rRNA from 1 species
UACGAAGGGGGCUAGCGUUGUUCGGAAUUACUGGGCGUAAAGCGUGCGCAGGCGGUGAUGUAAGACAGAUGUGGAAUCCCCGGGCUCAACCUGGGAACUGCAUUUGUGACUGCAUCGCUGGAGUGCGGCAGAGGGGGAUGGAAUUCCGCGUGUAGCAGUGAAAUGCGUAGAUAUGCGGAGGAACACCGAUGGCGAAGGCAAUCCCCUGGGCCUGCACUGACGCUCAUGCACGAAAGCGUGGGGAGCAAACAGG